rnacentral:rRNA from 1 species
UGGGGAAUAUUGGACAAUGGGCGCAAGCCUGAUCCAGCCAUGCCGCGUGAGUGACGAAGGUCUUCGGAUUGUAAAGCUCUUUUGCCAGGGACGAUAAUGACGGUACCUGGAGAAUAAGCCCCGGCUAACUUCGUGCCAGCAGCCGCGGUAAUACGAAGGGGGCUAGCGUUGUUCGGAAUUACUGGGCGUAAAGCGCACGUAGGCGGAUUUGUUAGUCAGGGGUGAAAUCCCGGGGCUCAACCUCGGAACUGCCUUUGAUACUGCAAGUCUCGAGUCCGGAAGAGGUGAGUGGAAUUCCUAGUGUAGAGGUGAAAUGCGUAGAUAUCAAGAGGAACACCUGAGGCGAAGGCGGGUUGCUGGGCUGAUACUGACGCUGAGGCGCGAAAGCUAGGGUAGCAAACGGGAUUAGAUACCCUAGUAGUCCCUGAGCGGGCUGGCAAGGCGCAU